UGGGGAAUAUUGCGCAAUGGGCGAAAGCCUGACGCAGCCACGCCGCGUGAGCGAUGAAGGCCUUCGGGUCGUAAAGCUCUGUGGGGAGAGAAGAAGAAAGCCCGUGAAGAGCGGGCCUUGACGGUAUCUCCUUAGCAAGCACCGGCUAACUCCGUGCCAGCAGCCGCGGUAAUACGGAGGGUGCAAACGUUGCUCGGAAUCAUUGGGCGUAAAGCGCACGUAGGCGGCGAAGCAAGUCGGGUGUGAAAGCCCUGGGCUCAACCCAGGAAGUGCAUUCGAAACUAUUUCGCUUGAAUCUCGGAGGGGGUCAGAGAAUUCCCGGUGUAGAGGUGAAAUUCGUAGAUAUCGGGAGGAAUACCAGUGGCGAAGGCGCUGACCUGGACGAAGAUUGACGCUGAGGUGCGAAAGCGCGGGGAGCAAACA
rnacentral:rRNA from 1 species